GCCUAGCCCUAAACAGACAAUCCUUUUACAAUCAUUUUUCGCCAGGGAACAACGAGCCUCAGCUUAAAACCCAAAGGACUUGGCGGUGCUUUAAACCCCCCUAGAGGAGCCUGUCCUAGAACCGAUAACCCCCGUUUAACCUCACCCCCUCUUGUCUCUUUCCGCCUGUAUACCUCCGUCGCCAGUCCACCCUGUAAAGGCCUAGAAGUGGGCAAAAUCGGCACAGUCUAAGACGUCAGGUCGAGGUGCAGCUUACGAGGAGGGAAGAGAUGGGCUACAUUUUCUGACCCAGAAAAUACGAACUUUGCCCUGAAAAAGCAUCUGAAGGCGGAUUUAGUAGUAAGGAAGGAUUAGAGCGCUUUCCUGAAACUGGCACUGAAGCGCGUACACACCG
rnacentral:rRNA from 1 species